rnacentral:rRNA from 1 species
UACGUAGGGCGCGAGCGUUGUCCGGAAUUAUUGGGCGUAAAGAGCUCGUAGGUGGCUUGUUGCGUCUGCCGUGAAAGCCCGUGGCUUAACUACGGGUCUGCGGUGGAUACGGGCAGGCUAGAGGCUGGUAGGGGCAAGCGGAAUUCCUGGUGUAGCGGUGAAAUGCGCAGAUAUCAGGAGGAACACCAAUAGCGAAGGCAGCUCGCUGGGACGGUACUGACGCUAAGGCGCGAAAGCGUGGGGAGCGAACAGG